UACAGAGGUCUCAAGCGUUGUUCGGAUUCAUUGGGCGUAAAGGGUGCGUAGGCGGCGCGGUAAGUCGGGUGUGAAAUCUCGGGGCUUAACUCCGAAACUGCAUUCGAUACUGCCGUGCUUGAGGACUGGAGAGGAGACUGGAAUUUACGGUGUAGCGGUGAAAUGCGUAGAUAUCGUAAGGAAGACCAGUGGCGAAGGCGGGUCUCUGGACAGUUCCUGACGCUGAGGUACGAAGGCCAGGGGAGCAAACGGG
rnacentral:rRNA from 1 species